rnacentral:rRNA from 1 species
AGGCUCGUCAAUCGAAAUGAGUACAAUUUAAAUCCUUUAACGAGUACCAAUUGGAGGGCAAGUCUGGUGCCAGCAGCCGCGGUAAUUCCAGCUCCAAUAGCGAAUAUUAAAUUUGUUGCAGUUAAAAAGCUCGUAGUUGGAUCCAAGGUUAGGCAUGCCUGUCUGUUCUUAGUAGCAUGACUGUGUGUGUCUGCCUUUAUUAGUUGAAUGUUCAUUAUGGUGGUCUUCAUCGACUGCUAUGAUGUGCUCAACACGUUUACCUUGAAAAAAUCAGAGCGAUCAAGGCAGGCCUUCGUGCUUGUAUGUUGUUGCAAGGAAUAAUAGAAUAGGACUUCGGUUCUAUUUUGUUGGUUUUAAGAAUUGAAGUAAUGAACAAUAGAGACAGUCGGGGGCAUUUGUAUGGUGGCGUUAGAGGUGAAAUUCUGAGAUCGUCGCCAGACAAACUACUGCGAAAGCAUUUGCCAAGGAUGUCUUCAUUAAUCAAGAACGAAAGUCAGAGGUUCGAAGACGAUCAGAUACCGUCCUAGUUCUGACCAUAAACGAUGCCGACCUACAAUCGGGGGUGGUUUAUUAUAUUGACCCUCCCGGCUGUCCUCAGGAAACUUUAAGUUGGUUCUGGGGGGAAUAUGGUCUCAAGACUGAAACUUAAAGGAAUUGACGGAAGGGCACCACCAGGAGUGGAGCCUGCGGCUUAAUUUGACACAACACGGGGAAUCUCACCCGGUCCGGACACUGGUAGGAUGGACAGAUUGAUAGCUCUUUCUUGAUUCAGUGGGUGGUGGUGCAUGGCCGUUCUUAGUUGGUGGAGUGAUUUGUCUGGUUAAUUCCGAUAACGAACGAGACUCUGUCCUGCUAAAUAGUCCAGUGGCAUCAAUCACUAUGUGAUUACAGCUGCUGUUACUUCUUAGAGGGAUUCGCGGAUUUAAACCGCAAGAAAUAGAGCAAUAACAGGUCUGUGAUGCCCUUAGAUGUCCGGGGCCGCACGCGCGCUACAUUGACAGUAGAAGCGAGUAUUUCUACCUGGUUCGAAAGAAUUGGGAAAUCUUCGAAUUACUGUCUCCACAGGGAUUGAGGUUUGCAAUUUUGCCUCAUGAACGAGGAAUUCCCAGUAGGCGCAAGUCAUCAGCUUGCGUCGAUUACGUCCCUGCCCUUUGUACACACCGCCCGUCGCUACUACCGAUUGAGUGCAUUAGUGAGGACCUCGGAUUGAGAACAUAGUGGCGCAAGUUACUUUGUUUUCGAAAAGUGGUUCAAAUUUGUGCAUUUAGAGAUAGUAAAAGUCGU